UUGACAGCCAUAGAGACUUAAAUUGUCUCUUUAGCCUAAAAACAGGCACAACACAGACAGCAGCUAUGCAAGCUUCCCCACAUUGCUCCAUCAAUGUACCUCAAGCCUGAUCCUGAAAGACCUCUCCUAACACAGUGAGAGUAAUUCAGUCUCCAUGUUCAUUUAGGCCUCCAUUCAG
ensembl:misc_RNA